rnacentral:lncRNA from 1 species
GUCAGUGCUUGCUGAUACCACCUGGUUAUGGAAUCAUAAAGGUGCUGUGAAGAGUUGAGAUUCCUAUUGGAGAUUCCUGUUGGACAUCAUUGGCUGUCCACUACUUGGACAUUCAGGCAGUGAGUCUGGGGGUCCGCACACUCUCCCCUCCCUGCAUGCACAUGGCUGUCCUGCAGCGUGGGCUUGGAGGAAAGGCACAAACUCAGUCCCAGCCUCAGCACCGUUCCAGCAGACGCUGCACAGCCCCCAGUUUGGAACAACUGAUAUGAAUUAAAGCAAUUAAUGCAGCCAGAUCCAGCAGGUUGAUAACAUCGGUGGCGUUUAUCUUCUGAGACCUCCCAAAGUCCUCCAGCAAAAAUAUCACAGAAUGAGCUCCGUGUCCCUCCACAGACCCAGUGAGACCCAGGAGGUGGUGCUUCACUGCAGUGCUGCCAGUGAUACCAUCGUGCUGCAUUGCUGAGGGCUCUGUGAUGGUCCAGGCGAGGGCUGUCCCAGAGGAUGCUGAAGGCCGUGCAAGGGUUGAAG